UACGUAGGGUGCGAGCGUUAAUCGGAAUUACUGGGCGUAAAGCGUGCGCAGGCGGUUGUGUAAGACAGGUGUGAAAUGCCCGGGCUUAACCUGGGAAUUGCACUUGUGACUGCACGGCUAGAGUGUGUCAGAGGGGGGUAGAAUUCCACGUGUAGCAGUGAAAUGCGUAGAUAUGUGGAGGAGUACCGAUGGCGAAGGCAGCCCCCUGGGAUAACACUGACGCUCAUGCACGAAAGCGUGGGGAGCAAACAGG
rnacentral:rRNA from 1 species